rnacentral:misc_RNA from 1 species
AGUCGUAACAAGGUCUCCGUUGGUGAACCAGCGGAGGGAUCAUUACCGAGUUAUUCAACUCAUCAACCCUGUGAACUUACCUAAACGUUGCUUCGGCGGGAAUAGACGGCCCUGUAAAACGGGCCGCCCCCGCCAGAGGACUCUUAACUCUGUUUCUUAUAAUGUUUCUUCUGAGUAAAACAAGCAAAUAAAUUAAAACUUUCAACAACGGAUCUCUUGGCUCUGGCAUCGAUGAAGAACGCAGCGAAAUGCGAUAAGUAAUGUGAAUUGCAGAAUUCAGUGAAUCAUCGAAUCUUUGAACGCACAUUGCGCCCGCCAGUAUUCUGGCGGGCAUGCCUGUUCGAGCGUCAUUACAACCCUCAGGCCCCCGGGCCUGGCGUUGGGGAUCGGCGGAGCGCCCCUCGUGGGCGCACGCCGUCCCCCAAAUACAGUGGCGGUCCCGCCGCAGCUUCCAUCGCGUAGUAGCUAACACCUCGCGACUGGAGAGCGGCGCGGCCACGCCGUAAAACACCCCAACUCUUCUGAAGUUGACCUCGAAUCAGGUAGGAAUACCCGCUGAACUUAAGCAUAUCAAUAA